UACGUAGGGUGCAAGCGUUGUCCGGAAUUAUUGGGCGUAAAGAGCUUGUAGGCGGUUUGUCGCGUCUGCCUGUGGAAAUUUCAGGGCUCAACCCCGAACUUGCAGUGGGUACGGGCAGACUAGAGUGUGGUAGGGGAGACUGGAAUUCCUGGUGUAGCGGUGAAAUGCGCAGAUAUCAGGAGGAACACCGAUGGGCGAAGGCA
rnacentral:rRNA from 1 species